GUUGCGGGGCGGGGCGGCUGCGGGUGGCAGAACAUGCCAGUGUGGACGCCUACACUGCUAACAUAUAGAGUAGUAGAGAUAAACCAAAUGGCACCUUAAUUUGAACGGUUUGAGAGUUGAUGGGUUAUGGUAUCAGGGUGUGAAAUCUUGAGAGGCAAAUCAGACCAGAACGAUAGUUCAUAGAGAGAUAUAGGUUAUUUUUUCAAGAAAUAUUUUGCUGCAAUCGACCCUGGGCCCCAAAUUCGUCUUGCAACCAGGGCCCAAGUUCAAGGGCGAAGAAGGCCUCCGUCACCCUUGUGUAUCUUGUGUAGACUUUGACGAAUGACUGAUUGCUGGAUUGGAUAUCCACAAAACCAAUCACACACGGCAAAUGCAAUUCCUAGCCCACCUGUGCCGUUCCAGUGGGCCAUCCCUAACUCCAAGCCCAACUGCCUUACCUCAUCUCGUCGCGUCAUUCCUUCCGCCUCCGCCGCACACGCGCUCGCUGGCUCGCUGCUCCGCAACGCCGUGGGGAAUGGUCGCAGCUACCGCCAUGGCCACCGCUGCGUCUGCGGCCUCACCGCUACUCAAUGGGAGCCGAAGGCUGCGCGGCUCCGCCAUCGCGGACUCAGGCUACAGCGUACGCUGCGCCGCUGUGGCGGGCGGCUAGGCCGAGGCACCGGCCUCCACCGGCGCGCAGCUGUACGCGGACUGCGUCGUGGUGGGCGGCGGCAUCAGUGGCCUCUGCACCGCGCAGGCGCUGUCCAGGCGGCACGGCGUCGGGGACGUGCUUGUCACGGAGGCCCGCGCCCGCUCCGGCGGCAACAUCACCCCGGUCGAGCGACCCGAGGAAGGGUACCUUUGAGACUUGGGAGGGAGAAAUUUGUGAUUGUGUCACUCUCAAGUCUCAAUUUUGUUAGGAAUAAUUGGAUCUAUACCAUUAAAAGAUCCAAACUUUAGAUAUAUACCAUGGACCACACAUGUCAUUUACUCAUGUGGACUCACAUGUAAGUGAGAUAGUAAUGAUAUAGAUCUAAAGUGGUGAUCUUUUAAUGGUAUGGAUCCAAAUUUCCCAUUUUGUUAUUAUGUUAUUUCAUGUUUAUGACUGUUGGAACCAUUUAUGUCUAUUAUUUGUGAAUUAGAUGGUAUAGCGGUGAAGUCUACAAAUCAUAAUGACAAAAUUGUCAAUGUCUCGAAAAGAGGAGAGUCCCAACAGCUUCCAGCCAUCCGACCCCGUUCUCACCAUAGCCGUGGACAGCGAGCUGAAGGAUGACUUGGUUUUUGGGGACCCGAACGCGCCGCGGUUCGUGCUGUGGGAGGGGAAGCUGAAGCCCGCUCCAUCCAAGCCCGCCGACCUCCCGUUCUUCGAUUUCAUGAAUCAUUAACAUCCCUGGCAAGCCGAGGGCCGGUCUAGGCGCGCUUGGCUUCCGCCCGCCUCCUCCAGUUUCAGGGCCGCGAGGAGUCAGUGGAGGAGUUCGUGCGCCGCAGCCUCGGUGCUGAGGUCUUUGAGCGCCUCAUUGAGCCUUUCUGCUCAGUAUGAAGGCUGCAUUUGGGAAAGUGUGGCGGUUAGAAGAAGCUGGAGGUAGUAUUAUUGGUGGAACCAUCAACCAUCAACACUAUUCAGGCAGGAGAGGGGCAAGAAUCUGAAACCACUAGGGAUCCCCGUCUUCCGGAGACAGAAGACAGUUGCAUCUUUCAGGAAGGGUCUUGCCAUGCUUCCAAAUUCUAUCACAUCCAGGUUUGCUUUUAUUGUUUUGUAUAUUUACUAACAAAUAUGUUCGUGUGUUGCAACAAACAUCUUGUUACGCUGUCACUUGACCGACUUGAGGCUCACAUAUAUAUGCAAUGGCUGUGUCAUCUGUUCCAUAUGUCUUGGAUUCAGACUUCAUAAUGUGACUAGACACAUGUUGUUCUAACUUGUAUUAGCUUGGGUGUGGUUUGGUUCACAAAAUGUAACGUAAAUAUUAACGGUAAUGGUUCGCACUCGAUUACCAGCGGUAACAAAUUUGAAUAGGCCGAUAUCAAUUCCUAGUAUAGUAUUCGAUUACGGUUGAACUUAAACAUACAUGAUUUAACGUUAUCUGUUACCCAUUACAUUACAAAUAUGUGAACCAAACAACACAUUGGUUCCUAAGUCUGGGUCAUAGACGAGAUAGAUAGGUGUGUGAGGAUAUUGUGAGAAGUAAAAUAUCUUGGACGUAAUAGUCCUUUCUGCUUAUAAUAUCAUUAAUCAUGUGUGUAUGUAGAUAGAGAGGUGCCCUACAAACAUAACCCACUACACUAACCAAGACUCUAGGAAGGCAUCACCAUGCCUCAACCUGAGUCAUGAUAAAAAAACUAAGAGCAAGGACAAACCCUUAGCACCACACCACAUCUGACACUCAUCAUCAACUAAAGAGAAGGCCUUAGCGACAUUAGGUGGUAAACCUUCAAAAACACACUCAUUGCGGUGCCUCCGAAUACUCCAAGCUCCUAAGAUCACAAGCGAGUUAACGCCGAUGUCUUCAUGAACGCGAUUAACUGAAGCAUUUCACCAAGCCUCGAAAUUAUUUUUCCCGAUGUCUGGGGACAACGCAGCCAAGCCCAUCCUUUGGAAGAGGUAGAACCAAAAGUUGAUAAUGGAAGUCUUUCACCAUUUUAAGUCAUAAUAAAAAUACUAAGCUGCCCCCUCUCAUUCCAUUUUAUAUCAUAUUGGCCCCCUUCUCAUUUCAUGCCCAAGCUUCGCCACUGUAGGGGAUAUUAAUGGUCAAAAUCUCCUAGAAAAUAUGUCUUACAUUGAUGGACAGAGGGUGGAUCAUUUACAUUUUAUUAGAUCUGUUGGCAUUCUUCCUCUUUGAGCAUGAACUCUGUCUUUACCCUCUGCCGAGCGAUGCUUCAGAUGCCCUAUCAAGAUUCUAAUAUCCACCAGUUGCUGCUGUAACUGUUUCGUAUCCAAAGGAAGCAAUUAGAAAAGAAUGCUUAAUUGAUGGUGAGCUCUAGGAUUUUGGCCAGCUGCAUCCACGUAGUCAAGAAGUUGAGACAUUAUGUAUUUCUUGGAAUCAUCAAGUCUUAAAGCUCGAAACACAUACAGACAGUUUUCUUUUCCAGCUUGCUUUUAUUCUAGCAAGGCUGAAUCCAAGAUACAGAUAAUGAUAUAGAAGUACUAUUGGUAACAUGCUUUUGUAGGAACAAUAUACACCUCAGCAUCCGCCUGGGUCGCUUGAGACAGCUGCAUCCUUGCAGACAGAGCCAACUAGAAUGCUGAAGGUCUAUUACCGCAGAGGGUCAAAAGCAAGUCAAUUUCACGACGGCCAACAAGAUGGAACAGGAAGGGAGUUGCUGGCAAUGGAGAAUGGGCAUACAACUGAUCCAAGACCUGAUACCCUCACAGCCAUGGGUGCUCCGCUGUCUGCGACAAGAAAAGAAGAGUUCCUCAACAACAUCUGUAGAAGACCUGACGCUUGUCUGCUGAUACCAAAUAAAAACAGCAAGAAAGCAACUCCUCCCUCUCCAACAACACCUGCUGCUGCGCCAAGACGAAGCCGACGUGUCGCUGGAGCUGGAGUGGAAUUCAGCAUGCAAGAUUGGGGUGGCAGGGCCACCAAAAAAGCCAUGAAAGCCCUGCAGAUUAUUACUGAAGAUGAAGGCAUCAGUCAGGAAGCCCUCAAGGCUUAUGCAGAGCUUUUCAAGCACCCACUUUCUCAGCUCCAGGUGGAGGCCUUGUCAGCCCUUUUCGGUUGGCCCACGCCACCAGAAGGGCCUGUUUGAAGCCUAGGUUCCCCCCCCCCCCCUGUUCUUUGUGGUAGUGUUCUGUAGACUGUUAUCCAUGAAUCCAAACAAAAUUUUAUUCUGGAAUGUGAGAGGACUGAACUCCUCAGUACGGCAAGACUCAGUCAGAGAGCUUGUGGACUCUUCCCAAGUGGAUGUGGUUUGUGUCCAGGAAACUAAAAUGCAGAACAUUUCAACAAGAACUAUCCUGUCCAUGCUUGGAGCUGAGUUCUCUGAUUACGUCUACCUGCCAUCAACAGGUGCAAGUGGUGGCAUCUUGAUCACUUGGAAAAGACAUAUAGGUCAUACAGGGCAGCAAAGAAUCGACAAUCACAGUGUUUCAGUCCAGUUGUGCAUGGAGCAAGGGCAGGCUUGGUGGCUUACCUGUGUGUACGGCCCUCAGGGAGAUGAUGGAAAAAUCCUUUUUCUUCAGGAACUCAGAGAUGUCAGAACAGCCUGUGCUGGCCCUUGGUUGGUGGCUGGGGAUUUUAACCUCAUCUAUAAAACAUCAGAUAAGAAUAACUCCAAUUUUAAUAGAGCCAUGAUGGGUCGUUUCAGGGAUUUGAUCAAUGAUCUUGGCCUCAAGGAGAUUCCGCUGUUAGGACGCAAAUUCACUUGGUCUAACCAGCAAGAUAACCCUGUCCUUGUUAAGCUUGAUAGAGUGUUUUGUACUGUGGAUUGGGAGCUAACCUUCCCCAGAGUUCUUCUUCAUAGUGCUGCGUCACUUGAUUCGGACCACUGUCCUUUGCUUCUGGGACGCAGUGACAAUAGGCCUGGAAAACGGCGUUUCCAUUUCGAAUCCUUUUGGACCAAGCUUGAAGGUUUUCAGGAGGAAGUGCAUUCAGCAUGGAACUCAGUCGAAGCUGUCAGAUGCCCUUUCCAGACUCUAGAGAAGAAGCUAAAGAUGACAGCAAGAAGACUGCAAGGUUGGAGUGACAAGCAGGUUGGGCAUGUAAGAUUGCAGUUGGCUUUGGCAAAGGAGUUGCUGCAUAGACUGGAGAUGGCACAUGAUGAAAGACCACUUACCCCGGCAGAGAUCUGGCUUAAAAACAGGCUCAAAAAACAAUCUUUGAUGCUGUCCUCUUUCAAGCGAACCAUGGCAAGAUUAAGGUCAAGAAUUUCAUGGCUCAAAGAGGGGGAUGCGAACACAAGAUUUUUCCAUAUUCAUGCAAGGCAUCGUAAGAGGAAGAAUUUCGUGGCCAUGUUGGUUGAUGGAGAUCGUAUCCUAACCAACCACUGUGAAAAAGCAGCAGCAGUGGAUCAGUUUUAUACAAACCUCAUUGGAAAUGUGGAAACAGGGAAAGGACUAUUGAUUUGGAUGCCCUUGGACUGCCUAGACAUAAUCUGGAGGACCUAGACUCCCCUUUUUCAGAACAAGAGGUUUUGGAAACCAUUAAAGGCUUGCCUUUGGAUAAGGCCCCAGGGCCGGAUGGAUUCACAGGGCGAUUCUAUAAAGAUUGCUGGGGAAGUAUUAAAGCAGAGGUUAUGGCUGCAGUUAGGGCAGUUUGGAGCAGGAAUUUCAACAAUUUCUACAAGCUCAACACGGCCUUUAUUACCUUGAUACCGAAAAAAGAGGGGGCAGAGCAGGUCAAAGACUUUAGGCCUAUUAGUCUUGUGCACAGUUUUGCAAAACUGAUCACCAAGAUUCUUGCUAACCGGCUGGCCAAAAGGCUCAAUGAGCUGGUCUCUCCGAUUCAAAGCGCAUUUAUAAAGGGAAGGUUCAUCCAAGAUAAUUUCAUGUUGGUACAAUAAACUGCAAGGCUGUUUCACCAGCAGAAAUUGCCUCGCCUACUCCUCAAACUUGAUAUCACUAAGGCCUUUGAUUCAGUGUCCUGGCCAUUCCUAAUUGAAGUCAUGCAGCAGAUUGGUUUUGGUCAUAUCUGGAGGGAUAUUGUUUGUGGGUUAUUGGCCUCCUCCACUACACAAGUGCUGCUCAAUGGUUCCCCGGGGGAACGUUUAGCCCAUAGGAGAGGGCUCAGGCAGGAAGACCCCCUCUCCCCCAUGCUAUUCAUCCUAGUUAUGGAUGUUCUUGGCCUCUUAUUCGCUAAAGCUGAAGAAGCAGGUUUGCUACAGCAGUUAUCUAGAAGAAAGAAGCUCCAUAGGAUUUCUAUUUAUGCAGAUGAUGUGGCUGUGUUUUUAUAUCCUACUGCUGAAGAAACUUCUAUCACUCUAGACAUCCUGCAACUUUUUGGAGAUGCUUCUGGCCUCAUAAAUAAUGUGCAGAAAUCAAAUGUAUAUCCUAUUCAAUGCUCCGAGGGGAAUUUGAUGGAAGUUCAGAGUUUGCUGCCUUGUGAGAUGGCAACCUUCCCCUGCAGAUAUUUGGGGCUCCCCCUAUCCUUGCAUAAGCUUUCUCGGCAGCAGUUCCAGCCCUUUGUUGAAAGAAUUGCAGAUCAACUCUCUAAUUGGAAAGCUGACUUAAUGUCUAGAGCAGGAAGGAGAAUUCAGGUGCAACAUGUUCUCACAGGCAUGACAGUUUAUUUAGCAAUGGCAAUUGACAUCCCCCAAUGGGCCUUAGAUGCCAUUGAUAAGAUAAGAAAGGGUUUUCUUUGGAGAGGCACAAAGGAAGCAAAGGGAGGACACUGUUUGGUUGCCUGGGGAAAGGUGUGUCGUCCCCUUCAGCUGGGAGGCUUGGGAAUCUCAAGUCUCCCUGAGCUUUGUUGGGCUCUCCGCAUGAGAUGGCUGUGGUUGCAGAAAACAGAUUUGGGUCGGCCUUGGGCAAGUCUUCCCAUACAGGUCCCAAACAAAGCUAGGGCUUUUUUCUCUAUGGCUCUUGUUUCUAUGGUUGGGGAUGGUUCAAACACCUUGUUCUGGAAUGAUAGAUGGCUGCAUGGCACUCAAAUCGCUGAUAUUGCCCCUAGCCUGCACAAGUCAAUUCCAACAAGAAUUGCUAACAAAAGGACGGUGAAAGAAGCACUUGUAAACAGGAAAUGGAUUUCAGAUAUUAAGGGGGCUCUUACAGUAAGAGUCUUGGUUGAUUAUCUAAACCUUUGGGAAUCUCUUUCAGGGAUUGAGUUACAGCCAAACAUAAGGGAUAAACAUGUUUUCAGCCUUGCUGCAGAUGGUAAAUACACAACGAAAGCAGCUUAUAAUGACCUGUUUUUAGGAUCUGCUACUUUUGAUCACUACAAAAGAAUCUGGAGAUCUUGGGCCCCCUCAAAGUGCCGUUUUUUCAUUUGGUUGGUGGCACACAACAGAUGCUGGACUGCUGAUCGUUUGGCCAAAAAGGGCCUGAAUCACCCGCAAAGGUGUCUUCUUUGUGACCAGGAAGAUGAAACCAUGAACCACCUCCUUAUUUCCUGUGUCUUCACAAGAAUUUUCUGGUAUAUGCUCCUAAGGAAAUUUGGGUUACAUGCCCUGGCCCCACAGCCUGGCCUCACAUCCUUCUUAGAGUGGUGGAAAGGGGCUGCUGAGGCAGUGCAGGGAAUGGUCAAGAAAGGGCUGAAUUCUCUCAUCAUAUUGGGUGCCUGGAAGAUAUGGAACCUCCGCAAUAGAUGUGUGUUUGAUGGAGAGACCCCCAGCCUCUCUCGAAUCCUGCAACAGGCUGAUGAGGAGAGAAACCUUUUUGGGAGCUAGCAGGGGCCAAGAGUCUCUCCUUUUUGGCUGCUCCUUUGUCGGUAGCCUGAAUUCCUAAUGGAUUUGUUUCUUUAUGCUUGUUUCUGGCCUCCGUAAGGAGAGCUAUUGUACUAUGUAUUAUGUUUCUCCUCUUCUUAAUAUAAUUAAAGGCGCAGUUCCCCUGCGCUUUCGAAAAAAAAGGAACAAUAUACACCUCAUCACUCUUUCCAAAUCGUGCUCCUGCUAGUAGGGUGUUACUUCUAAACUACAUAGGAGGUGCUACAAACACAGGAAUUGUUUCCAAGGUUAGCAAGUCUCUUUCAACAAUAUUGCCUUGUAUUUUUGUGAUUAUGAUGUGUUUAUAUAUCUUUUUAGUGCCCUUCUUUAUGAAUAGAACUUUUAGUACCAAUAUUCUGUUCUUUAAUAUCACUAUAAAAACACUAACUGCACGGAACUCCUGGAAAAUUUGAGCUGCUUGUUAUGUAGUAUGUUUUAAAUAUAGUCUUUAUUCGAUUGCCUGUUAUUGGCUGUAUUUUUUUAUGAUCCCAACUCAUUUCAAGACUGAAAGUGAGCUGGUAGAAGCAGUUGAUCGUUGUCAACAGAGGGUAACUGCAAGGCCUACUCGUGCGCCCAGCUAAGCUCUGCAAGCUAGGGAUCUAACUGGAGUCCCACAUAGUUCGCCUUCCGUUGCUCACCAUCUCAUUGUAAUCGCCAGGCCAACGGCCUCGCACAUGUAUAUGUACGGCACUCCAGAGAUCAAUAGACUUGCUGGUUGAGCAUUUUCUCUCUUCAAUCGUGACCUCCGAAAAAUGCUUAUAAAUCCUACAGCAGUGGAUCCUUUAGUCUUAGGUGUCCGAGUUUGGCCACAAGCCAUACCUCGGUUCCUGGUAGGACAUCUUGUUCUUCCGGAGGCCGCAAAAUCUGCCCUGGACCGAGGUGCCUACGAUGGGCUGUUCCUGGGAGGUAACUAUGUUGCAAGAGUUGCCCUGGGAAGAUGCGUCGACGACGCGUAUGAGUGUGCCUCGCAAAUAUAUGACUUUUUAACCAUGUAUGUCUACAAGUGAUGAAAGAAGUGGAAGGCUUCAUGUUAAUUGUCAUGUUGCAUAGGUGAGGUGAGACCAGGAGUAGUAAAAGCUUUACGAGUAUUUUUUUUGUAAAUUCCGUUUCUGUUUUCCCAGUCAAUAAUUAGUUACAUUUUAGUUCUGUAGGAGAUUGUUCUAAUCACGACCCUACAAAAAAAAUUGCAUUCGUUUAUGAGAGCUGUGAAGACUCAUGUAGCGUUUUUAUGUAAGUGCCAACAAAAUCAGGUACUAUUAUUCAAGAACGAACAGAAUGUGCAACUGAGAUUGCCUUGCAUGA